rnacentral:rRNA from 1 species
GAUGAACGCUGGCGGCGUGCCUAAUACAUGCAAGUCGAGCGAACAGACGAGGAGCUUGCUCCUCUGACGUUAGCGGCGGACGGGUGAGUAACACGUGGAUAACCUACCUAUAAGACUGGGAUAACUUCGGGAAACCGGAGCUAAUACCGGAUAAUAUAUUGAACCGCAUGGUUCAAUAGUGAAAGACGGUGUUGCUGUCACUUAUAGAUGGAUCCGCGCCGCAUUAGCUAGUUGGUAAGGUAACGGCUUACCAAGGCAACGAUGCGUAGCCGACCUGAGAGGGUGAUCGGCCACACCGGAACUGAGACACGGUCCAGACUCCUACGGGAGGCAGCAGUAGGGAAUCUUCCGCAAUGGGCGAAAGCCUGACGGAGCAACGCCGCGUGAGUGAUGAAGGUCUUCGGAUCGUAAAACUCUGUUAUUAGGGAAGAACAAAUGUGUAAGUAACUAUGCACGUCUUGACGGUGCCUAAUCAGAAAGCCACGGCUAACUACGUG